AAUGGGUGGGUACGGACAUCAGAAAUAGUCUGCUGAUCUGACCCCAACAGAGACUGGCAGCCCACACCAUGAACGAGAUGGUGCAGCAGGCUUGUGACAAGACAUGCCCUAGAUGUCCUGAGCAGAAGCGAUCAAAAGGCGGUUUAGACUUAGGACAGUCAAAAAAUGGCUCCAUGCUACAACUGUAAAUCUAGCUCACUUCUACCUGGAGUCUAAAAUCUCAGCAGCACAUUCCAGUUCUCUAUCCAGACAACAAGGAUAAAACAAGAAAGAACUGUAGCUGUGGGAAUAAAAGAAACGCCCAGGAAGCAGUCUUUUACAUCUCCUUAUCUGGGAACGUUCUAAGUUUCUUGAGGAAUUCUACACUGGAGAGAUGGGUGUGUCUGAAGGGGACUUGUUCCUGGGCUCACAGGAAUGGAAGAAACUUCUACUCCAAAUCAAAAUGACAAAAAUAUAUGCUGAAGAUGGAACUAUAAUCUUGAAACUGGCUUUGUUUGGAGAGAAAUGUCUGUGUUUGUGCUAUGGCUGAGAAACUGCAUCUUCAGCUAAGGGCAAGAUGAGACAAAUCAAGGACUCCAGGACGAACCCAAGAACUUUCCAGAAGGCUCCCAUGCAAUCAAUACCUGCUAUCUGUGAGAUGGCACCAACCUUGUGCAGGAGCACUUUGUAAUGUCUGACCUCAGACUCUGCUCUAAUCUUUUAAAGUGCUCCUUGGGACUUCUCUGACUCUACAUCAUGAGCAGCCUUGAUCAUGGGUACGUCAUCUGAAGACAUGUGUGUUCCUGGUACCACCACCUGUUGACAUGUAAAGAAAACUUGAGUGUAGUCAAAUAUACAAAUAUGUUACAGUUAAAAAUUUGAACCUACUUGUGCCCUUUGUAAGGCCCUUCUCU
rnacentral:lncRNA from 1 species